AAAUGCCGAAAACCGGUAUUUUGUAGAUUUGCGAGUGUGCGAAUGCUCAUGAGGAAAUCCCCAACCAUAGUGGGCUUGGAGCUGUGAGGGAAUUCGGAGUGACCACCCAUUCUGAAAGUUUGAUUUUCUUCUGGUGAACUGGACAUCCUUUUAUUUACGUUUGAAGUUUUGGGUUUUUAAAUGUAAUAAGGCCGCUUAAUUAUUUUUGAUGGUUUUAAUAUGUAUUACUAAGAUAGGUAUUACUUAUUUUAACUAUUGAAAUUGGAUAGCUUUAGGGCGCGUUUUCAAAAAAAACAA